rnacentral:rRNA from 1 species
UACGUAGGGUGCAAGCGUUGUCCGGAAUUAUUGGGCGUAAAGAGCUCGUAGGCGGUUUGUCGCGUCGGCUGUGAAAACUCGGGGCUCAACCCCGAGCCUGCAGUCGAUACGGGCAGACUAGAGUGCGGUAGGGGAGACUGGAAUUCCUGGUGUAGCGGUGAAAUGCGCAGAUAUCAGGAGGAACACCGGUGGCGAAGGCGGGUCUCUGGGCCGUAACUGACGCUGAGGAGCGAAGGCGUGGGGAGCAAACAGG